ACUCUAGUGGCUCAGAUGGUAAAGCAUCUGUCUGCUAUGCAGAAGACUCAGGUUCGAUCCCUGGGUUGGGAA
rfam:TPA: Bos taurus chromosome 1, whole genome shotgun sequence.